ACAAGCGGUGGAGUAUGUGGUUUAAUUCGAUGCAACGCGAAGAACCUUACCUGGUCUUGACAUCCCGGAGACCCUUAGGAAACUAGGGGUGCUUCCAUCUGGAAGAAUCUGGAGACAGGUGCUGCAUGGCUGUCGUCAGCUCGUGUCGUGAGAUGUUGGGUUAAGUCCCGCAACGAGCGCAACCCUUGCCUUUAGUUGCCAGCAGUUCGGCUGGGCACUCUAAAGGGACUGCCGGUGUUAAACCGGAGGAAGUGGGGAUGACGUCAGGUCCUCAUGGCCUUUAUGACCAGGGCUACACACGUACUACAAUGGCCGAUACAAAGGGCAGCGACACUGCGAGGUGAAGCCAAUCCCGUAAAAUCGGUCUCAGUCCGGAUUGGAGUCUGCAACUCGACUCCAUGAAGUUGGAAUCGCUAGUAAUCGUGGAUCAGCAUGCCACGGUGAAUACGUUCCCGGGCCUU
rnacentral:rRNA from 1 species